AGGGGCGGGGCCUGCCGCCGCCACCGCCUCAGGGAAGAGGAAGGAGGCCGCGGCUUCGCGUCCCGCCUCUCGCCUGGCUGGCCGUGGGGGGCCUGGACGCAGUGGCCUCCCGAAUCUCCCAGGACCCUAAUAUCGCCCGAGGAUGCUGGGAGGAACGCUGAGCCGACCUCUCCGUUAGGCUGAAGAUUGCACAAACCAUGCUAAUGGCCAGCAUGGAUGGAGGGAGCGUGUGAGAUGUGUGGGGCAGCGUGCUGCAUCUCAGCCAACUCCAGGAGCCAGUUGAUGUGAUGGACUACCUUAAUUGAUUUUUGAAUGUUGAGCCAGCCUUAUGCAUGUGGGAUAAACCCCUGUUGAUCAUGGCUGGCUGGAGUGCAGUGGUGCAAUCAUGGCUCACUGCAACCUCAAAUUCCUGGGCUCAAGGGAUCCUCCUGCCUCAGCCUCCCAAGUAGCUAGGACUACAGGAAGCAUGCUCAUGGCAAUACCCGGAGUCUCCACUGCAAGACCAGAGUGACGGAGGCAGCAGAGCUCCUCAGCAGGCCAGGAGUCUCCAGAGGCACUGCCGAAUGUCUAAGAAGCAACCUCAUUGUAUUCCCAAGACCUGGGAAUCCAGGUCUCGCAGAUACGAUGAUACAAUCUAUAGCCAGGACAUCUCUUCAUGUGUAGUUUUCAAUGAAUACUAGGAUAAGCAACUAUCCCAGUCUUCCCAGGAUUGAGGGGCUUCUCCAGAUGCUGCACUUCUGGUGCUAAAAAUGAGAAACUGAAAUGAAUUAGUCACCCAAGGAAUGCUGACCCUGUGCUAUAUGAUCACAUUUACUCUUUAAAGCAAUGCUUUGAGACAUGAAAGCCAGAUAGGGAAGAAUUUGCAGCCUCAUACUGAUUGGCCAGUUGAGGAGUCAACUCAUCUCUCUUAUAGAAAAAAGAAGAUUACAUUUACGGAAUACAGAAUAUACUGUGCUCUCUACUUACCAAGAGAUUUCUUUCUCUACUGACAACUUUCUGUUGACGUGGUUACUGUGCAGGUUCUGACAGUCGAUUCUUUCCACCUAGUUCACUGCUGAAGCUAUAAUGAUUUCCAUUUUGCAAAAAGAGGAUGAUUACUUAUUAUCUGUGACCAUUUCUCAAUUCCAGAACAAUUGAGCUGCAUAGUCCCUGCAAUCUUAUAAAGGCAUUUGGCCUGGAAGAUGCUCUGCAGCCAUGUGCCAAGAAUAACGGCUAUAGGGACAAUGUUUCAUUAACCCCAAAGCAGCAACCUGAACCUCUUACUGUACAAUAUCUGCUCCGUUCAGAAUUAGCUCGACUUGAGUCACAGGAUGAAGCUUACCAAAAGGAAUUUCCACGUCCAAGGAAGGAACCAAGAUCACUGAGAGGUUAUAGUAUGAAAAGUGAAGAGAAAAAACCUAUUCUAAACAUUUUAUUAAUUGUCAAUAAUUAUUUUAAAAUAUUUAAUAUAGUCUCCUACCUGGUCCACUGGCAUCAAGCUGCCAAAUUUACACGGUCACUUUGGGAAGCCAGCUGGCAGGCAAACAUGGAAAGUGCUGGCUCCUAGCGUAGUGAGAAGACCACAGAUAGAUGGUAAUUUUCUUCUUUGUUUUAUUUUUCUUUUUCUUCUCUCCCUCUUUUUCUUCCCUCUUGCCUUUCCCUCCCAUUGCCCACUUUCUUUUUUUGGCUGCCGAAGAUUUAUUGCCUUUCAGUACUUAUAGAUGAUGUUUUCAUAAGUUCUAAUGAGGUCCCAGCAGUUUUUAACAAUAACAGGACAUUACUGUUCCUAAGAUAUAUUAUGUGUUUUCCCUCAUCUUUCUCCCUUGAAUGAAAUGCUUAGAAGUAGGCUAACCCCCAAUUCCCUUCCCUUUACUAUGAUAAAUGGCUCCAUUACUUAAUAGGGCUAAAUACUCUGCUGUGACUUUUAUACUGCUGAUUUGAAUAA
rnacentral:lncRNA from 1 species